GACGAACGCUGGCGGCGUGCCUAAUACAUGCAAGUAGAACGCUGAAGAGAGGAGCUUGCUCUUCUUGGAUGAGUUGCGAACGGGUGAGUAACGCGUAGGUAACCUGCCUGGUAGCGGGGGAUAACUAUUGGAAACGAUAGCUAAUACCGCAUAAUAGCAGUUAUUGCAUGAUAACUGUUUGAAAGGUGCAAAUGCAUCACUACCAGAUGGACCUGCGUUGUAUUAGCUAGUUGGUGAGGUAACGGCUCACCAAGGCAACGAUACAUAGCCGACCUGAGAGGGUGAUCGGCCACACUGGGACUGAGACACGGCCCAGACUCCUACGGGAGGCAGCAGUAGGGAAUCUUCGGCAAUGGACGGAAGUCUGACCGAGCAACGCCGCGUGAGUGAAGAAGGUUUUCGGAUCGUAAAGCUCUGUUGUAAGAGAAAGAAACGAGUGUGAGAAGUGGAAAAGUUCCACCACUG
rnacentral:rRNA from 1 species